GACGGACCCCAUGUCUUCCGCGACCGGGAACCCUUGCCCGCCUUCCGCCUCGCCCGCCAGGCUGUGGCACUAGCUUGUGCUCCCUCGUCGGCCUCCGCACCCGGGUCCCUCUUCACUCGUGUCAGGGCGCAGUUCAUGGCUUCUCAUCCGUGUGCUGCUCCGGGCGGCUCGGCCAACAGGCUGGGUUGUGCGCGACUCCCUGCUCCUCCAUGGCCUGAGGCCGUGGUUCAACAAGAACUGGGCGUUGAUGGUCUGCGAAGGGGUGGCUUUUCUGCCUAUUUCACCUGACGCCCCACAAGGUUCCCCUGUUCUGGGAAGCCGGUCCGUCAGUUAAACGCGCAGGUCCUGCUGCGCCGAGGCCGAAUGCGGCCUUUGAGGACCGAUCAAUCCCGGGCUGACUCUAGCCUCUACUGUCAGAAGCUGCAGCUACGGGACCAGAAAAUUGGGGGGAGCUGAAACCUUUCCCUCGUGUAAAACAAGGAGACUUGAAUUAUAUUCCCAAAGAUUCCUCUUAUCCCCCGCAUCUUGCUCGUCAAUAGUUGCUUUAAACUUUAGGGAAAAGCUUCUGGUGCAUCGGAAAAACUCUGGCAGCAGGCCUGGGUUCUAGCCAUGGUUCCACCACUGACUAGAAAUCUCUUCUUUAGGCUGAAUUUACGAUUGUUUCAGAUUAAAGGAUUGAAUUAGAAAUUGAAUUAGAAAAUCUUUUAGGGCCUUUAUAUUUCUCUUGAGAUCGUUUCUCCCAAGUAUAAAAUCAAAGCGUUUAUAUGAUAACUCAGGUUCCUUCAAAGCUCCUGACUUUGUUUUGAGUACUUAGGCUGUCGCAAAGACUUAUAAGCGACAUUGUAUACUUAAGGCUGUAUUGUGCUUUGGGGACAGUUUAGUAUUAUUGCUAUUAUCUGGAGAAUCUGAGGAUGAGGAAUGAAUUGAGGAAGAUUUGGAAGUGGGAAUUGAACAAGGGAAUGGCAUGGGGGAAUGGGAUGGGGAUUAUUGGACAGCUCACAGGGGUAAGAGGCUUUAUGGUAAAAGGAGAAGAGUUGAGAGAAAUCUGAUGGAAGUGUUUUCAGAUAGGGUUUAGUUCUUGUAAAAAGCCUUUGUAUAUUCCAAGAACAGCUGAGAUUUAUCUCAAAUUGAGCAUAAUUUUCUCGUCUUGAUACUGUGUUCCCUCUUUCUCUUUUUUAUGACCAUUGUUUCACACAUAUAGAUCUUUAAGUCAUAUUUGAUUUAAAGUGUCACAUUUGAAAAAUGGACAGGAAUUUUAACCCCAGUUGUUAUUUUCAGGGCAGCACUAAAGAUUAAGUCAGAAUUUUUCAGUUUAGAUAAACUAUGUAGAAAUCACUUUUCUAUUGGAAACUGUGGACUUAAAAUCAAGCUGUAGGGCUGGGGAUGUAGUUCAGUGGUUGAGAGCUUGCCUAGCUGCUUAAGGCUCUGGGUUCAAUCCCCAGCCCUGCAAAAAGCAAGCAAGCAAGUUAAUUGUAGAUUUUAUUUAAAUCUGACUGAGGUGAAUGCUUAUGUCAUCAAGAAGGAACAUCUUAGCUAAAACACUUUGGAAGGAAAUAAGAGCAAAAUGUUUGGAAUGACCAGCAGGUAGACUGUUAGAAUAGAAGCAUUGGCUUUAAAGAUUGUGUAAGUAAAUUCUGAAAGCUUAAAUAAACUUAAGUUGUGUAGUUUUUAAAAAUCCAGUGAAUAAAUACUACUCCCUUUUUUGACAGCAGGAGCUGUCAAAAUUUAUAUUUGAUAUGCUAUUUUAAUUUUUCAGAUAAGUUUUUCUCUAUUUUAGGUUCUUGUAUGGAAGCAUCCUUUUUAGUAAUAGGAUUGAUAAAGUCUAUCUUUGAGUUCUUGAGUGAUAAACUGACAAAUUUAAAUGUGUGCUUUUUCUUUUAAUGAAAAUGCCUCUGAAAGUUUUCAUACUGCACUGAGAAGUAAAGUAGAUAUGCAUGAGGUAAAUUUAGGUGUUAGAGCCAAUGCACAUAUAACAAUCUUCAUUUGAAAUCAUUUUGAAAAUUUUAUUUUCAAAUCUUAGUGCUUGAUUGAGAGUCAGAAAAGUGUGAAUCAUCAGUUCUAGCUGUAUUCUUAACCAACUGCCUGACUUUGGGUGGGCUUCCUUAUUUCUUAUCACUUUGGAUCUCAGUUUUCGCAUGUAAAUUGAGGGGGUUGUGUGAAAUAAUCCAAAAGGUCCCCUCCAGAUUUACAAGUUUGUGACUAUCGUAAGGGCCUUAUUUUGUCUAGUUGAGUAGAUUUGGGAAUCAUGUCCAAUGAUCAAAAAAACGGAGAAAGCUUUCUGAGUUCAGGGAUCUAUCUGUAUCUAUAUUCUCUCUCUCUCUCUCUCUCUCUCUAUAUAUAUAUAUAUAUGUAUAUGUAUAUAUACACACACAUAUAUGUUUUUAUAUAUGCACACAUAGAUACAUUUUAUCUCAUGUUCAUCUCUGAGUAUGCUUUUAAAAAAUAAAUGCAUUCAAAUGUAAUUAAAAUAGUAACAUAAACCAAACAGCCUGAGGCAAACCUUAACCCUGGCAUACAUAAGCUACAUAAAUAGAAGAGAGCAUGUUAUGCCUGAGCACAAUUUUCAAGUACAGAAGGUACAAAAUCCUCUUAAAGGCCAUAGGGGCUAAAUUGUUAAAUUCAUUUUUCUACAUUUCAGGAAAGGAGAUAAAUCCUUAGACCCAAGGAAGUCAGUUUUUAUUAUGGUUCUGUAGUUUAUUUUUGGCAUACAUUCACAGGUGUGCCUAUGGCUCUAUUCUUAAUCCCUUUCCUUUGGGAUGGCUCCAAGAGUAGUACAAAUUUGUAACUCUGUAAUUUAGCUCUUUAAUUUUUUCUGUGCUGCACUGGAAUUAUGUUUUAUCUUAAGUCCACAUUGGAUCCUCAGGAUGGAUCCAGUGAGGAUUUUGAAGGAAGCAUAAUUCCUUUGCCUUCUUUUAGAAUUAAUUUACCUAUUAAGUAAAAAGGAAAGGAUUCAUCUUUUAUUUGAAUUCCUCUGAGGCUAACAUUUCAAUAUAAACUGAUAAAUGCUAUGGGCAUUAUUAUUCAGACAGUCACAUUCAACUUUUAUGACCAUAACAGCAUAGCAACCUGAAAGUGCAAUAGGGGAACAGAUAUAUUGUAACUUUUAGAAGAAAAAAGAUAGUAAAAGUUGGUUUCUUUAUUUCUGGAAAACAAAAGAGUUUUUGGGUCAGCUGCUUUUAUGACCAAAAUCACCAUCACAGUAUCACAGUAUCCUGGCGUUUUGGGCAGAGAUGGGAAACUAAAAACAUAAUUAUUCUCUCAAUUAUAUCUGUAUAUCUGAAAGUGGAAAAAAUAAUAAAUUGGCAUCAUUACUAGGGCAUCCCUGGUGUGCUGUAGGCCAGACCACCCAAACCCUCACCCCUGUAAUAGAAAUUUAACCCAGGGGGACUCUAACAUUGAGGUACAUCCCCAGACCUUUUUCUAUAUUUUAUUUUGAGACAUGGUCUUCCCAUGUUGCCCAGGUGGCCUCAAACUCAAGAUUCUCCUGCCUUAG
rnacentral:lncRNA from 1 species